rnacentral:rRNA from 1 species
UACGUAGGGUGCGAGCGUUAAUCGGAAUUACUGGGCGUAAAGCGUGCGCAGGCGGUUAUGUAAGACAGAUGUGAAAUCCCCGGGCUCAACCUGGGACCUGCAUUUGUGACUGCAUAGCUAGAGUACGGUAGAGGGGGAUGGAAUUCCGCGUGUAGCAGUGAAAUGCGUAGAUAUGCGGAGGAACGCCGAUGGCGAAGGCAAUCCCCUGGACCUGUACUGACGCUCAUGCACGAAAGCGUGGGGAGCAAACAGG